AUAGCAACUAAAAGAAAAACUACAGAAACGCGCAUCAACAUCUUGCAUAAAAGAAAGAAAACACUUUAUCGCCAUAUACUCGGCGUUGAU